rnacentral:rRNA from 1 species
GUAGGUAAAUUAUAUAACAUCAUAGCAGGUACAGAACUGUGUUCCUGUACAACUUGCAUUAAAAAAAGUGCUUUUUGUUGAUUUCUUAGGGAUCGUGAAGAUCUUAUUCGCGUGUAUUUGCACUCGGAAGGGUUAUGAUGACUAUAUAAUAAUCAGACAUAGUACGAUAAGGUAGUAUGUCUAAAGGGAAACAGCCCAGAACAAGAGUUAAUAAGGUUCCAAAAUUAUUGUUAAGUGAAAAUAAGGAAGUUUCAAUCAAAUAUGCCCAGGAAAUAGGCUUAGAUGCGGCCAUUUUUUGAAGACCUCGUAAUAGAGCACUGGAUUAGUAAAUUAUUUUUAUAAUUUAUAUUGAUAAAAGCACCAAAAAUUUAACGGAUCUAAACAAUAUACCGAGACCUUGUCCAUAUUUAUAUAUAUAUCUAAGUUGUAUAUUGUAUUUAUGGGGUAGCGGAACAUUGGGCAAAUAUAAGAAUUUUUCUUUUUAAGACUUAAGAUAAUAUAACCCAAGCGAUAAUGCUGACAUGAGUAACGAUAAAGGGAAUAAACUAUUCCCUCGCCUAAAACUUAUGGUAUUUACUUAAAGUAACGGCCUCUAAGUUUAUGCACCUAAAGGACUAAACGAUGAGAAAAUCUACUAUACUAAUCAUGAGAAAAUCUACUUACCUAAAGGAUGAGAAAAUCUACUCUACUAAUUAUGAGAAAAUCUACUUACCUAAAGGAUGAGAAAAUCUACUCGCUGCGAAUAAAUAUCCUUUGUGAUAUUUAUAAAUAUCCUUUGUGAUAUUUAUAAAUAACCUUUGUGAUAUUUAUAAAUAACCUUUGUGAUGAGACUUAUGCCGCUCUAGGCGAAGCAAGGUGUAAGCUUUUUUGCUAAAGUAACAAGGUUCUGGAAAAAUUAAGUAGUGCAUCAUGGACAAUAGGGAGUACGCAAUCUCCUGCCUCCCAUGGUGUAAAAAGACCGUACCUAGAAACUACCCGAGUAAGUUAGUAGAGAA